rnacentral:rRNA from 1 species
GAUGAACGCUAGCGGCAGGUUUAACACAUGCAAGUCGAGGGGUAGAAGUCUUCGGGCUUUGAGACCGGCGCACGGGUGCGUAACGCGUAUGCAAUCUGCCUUGUACAAAGGGAUAGCCCAGAGAAAUUUGGAUUAAUACCUUAUAGUAUAUCGAUGUGGCAUCACAAUGAUAUUAAAGAUUUAUCGGUACAAGAUGAGCA